AACGAACGCUGGCGGCAUGCCUAACACAUGCAAGUCGAACGAUGCCUCCGGGCAUAGUGGCGCACGGGUGCGUAACGCGUGGGAAUCUGCCCUUGGGUUCGGAAUAACUCGCCGAAAGGCGAGCUAAUACCGGAUGAUGACGUAAGUCCAAAGAUUUAUCGCCCAAGGAUGAGCCCGCGUAGGAUUAGCUAGUUGGUGGGGUAAAGGCCCGCCAAGGCGACGAUCCUUAGCUGGUCUGAGAGGAUGAUCAGCCACACUGGGACUGAGACACGGCCCAGACUCCUACGGGAAGCAGCAGUGGGGAAUAUUGGACAAUGGGCGAAAGCCUGAUCCAGCAAUGCCGCGUGAGUGAUGAAGGCCUUAGGGUUGUAAAGCUCUUUUACCCGGGAUGAUAAUGACAGUACCGGGAGAAUAAGCUCCGGCUAACUCCGUG
rnacentral:rRNA from 1 species